AAUAAACGCAGUUAUAAAUUUUCGUGUCUAAUUAUUCGUCUUAUUUAAAAUUUGUUUAUGAUUAACAUUUUUAUUAUUAUUAGAUUGUACUAAAACAUAAAUAAUACUCCAUGUGUGACUUAUAUUUUUCAGUUUUUUCAAAAAAAUCAAAUAAGACGUACGAUUAAAGUUAGGCACGAAAACUUAUGGUUAUGCUUAUU
rfam:Oryza barthii chromosome 3, whole genome shotgun sequence.